rnacentral:rRNA from 1 species
AUUGAACGCUGGCGGCAUGCCUUACACAUGCAAGUCGAACGGCAGCGGACCUUCGGGUGCCGGCGAGUGGCGAACGGGUGAGUAAUAUAUCGGAACGUACCUUUCAGUGGGGGAGUAACGUAGCGAAAGUUACGCUAAUACCGCAUAUUCUGUGAGCAGGAAAGCAGGGGAUCGCAAGACCUUGCGCUGAUUGAGCGGCCGAUAUCAGAUUAGCUAGUUGGUGAGGUAAAGGCUCACCAAGGCGACGAUCUGUAGCGGGUCUGAGAGGAUGAUCCGCCACACUGGAACUGAGACACGGUCCAGACUCCUACGGGAGGCAGCAGUGGGGAAUUUUGGACAAUGGGCGGCAAGCCUGAUCCAGCCAUGCCGCGUGAGUGAAGAAGGCCUCG